UACAACAAUUUUAGUGAUCGCAGGCGAACAGAUUAAAGUUGGUAUUUAGCCUAAAAAAAUAAUAAUCACAAUUACUUUAACUCGAAGUGUACCGUUUUUUUCGCGUUCUUCAUUUUAUGCUGUAUUAACCAGGCAAUCGUUCCACCUUUUCAAGCGUGGAAUUUCCUUUCACUCAGAGCAAAUAAAACAAAAAUUUACAAAAGUGUGCCCGCUAAAGUUUGAAGCGUAAAAAAUUUCACAAAUCACUCAUAAGUCAAAUUUCAAAUACAAGAUAGAACUUCGAAAUUGAUGCGUGCAACACCAACAACAACGCCAUACUCGUAAUAUCGCUCCUUGCCAGCAUAAGUGCAAAUGACAGGCAAACGUUUUGCGUGAGCAGCAAAAACCGUAUUUGAAAGCAAAGUCAUUGGAAGAAAUAUAAUACAUAUGUAUAUACAACUGUACAUACUCGUAUAUACAAUAGAAAUUUGUGUGCGUUUGUUUCUGUUAGUUUGCAAGAGCAGAAAAGCGUUAAAAAUUGCUGUCAUAAAUUAAUGAGAAUGUGCGCAAGCCGUCAAACAAAUAAAGACAUCGUGCGCACACGCACGCAUUCAUACAUACUCGUACAUACAUACAAUACUAAUGCACUUGCAAACGAGCUAACCAACAAAAACAAACACACAAACAAACAAACAGAAAAACAAUAAAAGCAGCCAAUACGAGAGAUAUAAAUGAAAAUGCCACCGCAGCGGCUGAAGUAAUUUCCGUGGCCUCGCCGUAACCCCUCAAUUCACCGCUCUUCUCAUCACACUGGCAAUUGAAAUUGUUUUGCUGUCAUAGGACAUCAAUCGCUCAUAACGCGUUUGCCGUUUGCAGAAAGUGCAUCGUUUCACAUGCAAAUGUUUGUUUUUUUUCGGCGGUUUCAUAUAUUUAAACAGACUUUUAUCGAAGAAUAACUCUUACUAAGAAGUGAGCUGGUGAAUAUGUUACGGGGUAGAUAUAUUUUGCACAUAUUUUUAGGCGCAACAUUUUGGAUUUUAUUUAUAAAUGGAGGGAACUACUUUUUAUUGUAAGCCGAUUUCGAAAGGCUAGUGGAUUUUUACGGAGAGCUUUUAUUUCAUAAGGAGCGUUUGAUUUUGUAAAUGACUAUUGUCGUUGCAAAACUAAUGAAAUUGAUAAAUGAGCCGCUCAGUGCACAUAUCGAUUAACUCCACUUUUUGGAAAAUCUGUCUGAGCCUUUCGUAUAGUCAUAAUUUUUUAUAUUUAUAAUCACUUUCCUGAAUGAUAAAUUAGAAAUUUAUUACAGAAGCCAUUUUGAAUACCUCCAUACUCUA